rnacentral:rRNA from 1 species
GAACGGGUGAGUAAUGCAUCGGAACGUGCCCAGUCGUGGGGGAUAACUGCUCGAAAGAGCAGCUAAUACCGCAUACGACCUGAGGGUGAAAGCGGGGGACCGUAAGGCCUCGCGCGAUUGGAGCGGCCGAUGUCAGAUUAGCUAGUUGGUGGGGUAAAGGCCUACCAAGGCAACGAUCUGUAGUUGGUCUGAGAGGACGACCAGCCACACUGGGACUGAGACACGGCCCAGACUCCUACGGGAGGCAGCAGUGGGGAAUUUUGGACAAUGGGCGCAAGCCUGAUCCAGCAAUGCCGCGUGCAGGAAGAAGGCCUUCGGGUUGUAAACUGCUUUUGUCAGGGAAGAAAUCUUCUGGGCUAAUACCCCGGGAGGAUGACGGUACCUGAAGAAUAAGCACCGGCUAACUACGUGCCAGCAGCCGCGGUAAUACGUAGGGUGCGAGCGUUAAUCGGA